GAUUAGCAAACAUGAGCCACUACACCCAGCUUGAUAAAUGUUUUUAAAAUGUCGCUUUGUAAAUUGGAGGACCCUCUUUGCUUGUGAGGCAGUUAUGGCCAUUACUAACAUUUAUUGCCUCGGUUGGUGGAAGAUGCCAGGAAAGGAAACCCAGUUCAGAGGAGAAAGCCGUUUCUCAUGGAAGGAGCUGCCUGAGAGUGGAAAGGGCUUUGCAAGUGCUGAGCUUCCUGUUGUUUGCUCAAAUGGAGGAUGCAUGAUCGUCUUUCAGAAAGGGAUUUCUAUUGGGUGGAAGGCGGGACAGAGAGAUUUGUAAAAGUUUCCAACAGGUCUAGCUCUCAUCUCCUGUGUCAGAAAGAAAGGAACAAGGAAGCCUGGGGAAGGGUGGAGGCCGCACAAAUGAGCUGACACUCGUUAUAACAAAUACCAUAAUGGCAAACCCUAGAGCCGCUAGAGGGGUCUUGUUCGUGAGGCAGAGAGGGUGGAGAUUAUAUACUUCAGUGUUUGUGCUAGAAGGGGGUUUGGAAAUUCUGGGGAAACCACUCUUGUCUUUCAAAACAUGAACUGUUGUGCCCUGUAAUGGGAAGGCCCAGUGGCAACCAAGUACCAGUGAUCCGCAGGGGGCAGAGGCCAGGGUCCUAGGCCCCCUUUGCAAUUAGGAAUUCAAGAUGUAAGUAUGCCUUAAAAUCCUUGGGCUUGCUGAGGGUUCAAAGAGCUUUGGGCUGGGAGCCAGGCCCCUUGGCUGGAGUCCCAACUCUGCCACCAACUAGCUUUAUAGUUUAAGGAAAGCCAUCCUAACUUCACUGAGCCUCUGUUUCUCUCCUUCCCUCCCUCUCUUUCUUCCUGAGAGCCUUUUUCCAUGGACCAGCAACACUGGCUAGGAACUUAUUGGAAAUUCAGAGUCUUAGGCCCCACCCUGGACUUAAAUCAGAACUUGCAUUUUUAACAAGCUUCCCGGGUAAAUUCUAAAACUCUGAGAAGCAGGGGCUUAGAUGACUUGAAUAACAUUAAUUUAUGGCACCAGCUCUAGAGUCAGACUGCCUGGGUUCACAUUCAGACUUCAUUGCUUACCAGCUGGGUAACCUUCAGUGAGUACAUGAGCACCUCUGUGUCAGGCACUGUCCUAAGCACUAAGGAUGCAGAAGUAAAUGAACUAAAUGAUAUAGACGAAGUCUUGGCUAUUGCAGAGACAGGCAGUAAACAAGUACAUGGCACAUUCGGUCUAAAGUAUGUGUUUCCCACAAAGCUCAUAUGUUGAAAUCCUAACCCCUCAAGGUGCUGGUAUUGGGAGGUGGGGCCUUGGGGACUGAUUAGGUCAUGAGGGCAGAGCCUUAGAAAUGAAGCCCCAGAGAGCUCCCUUACCCCUUCCACCAUGCGGCUGUCUAUGAACAAGGAAGCAGGCCCUCACCAGACACCAAAUCUGUUGUGCCUUGCUCUUGGACUUCUCAACCUCCAGAACUGUGAAGAAUAAAUUUCUGUUGUUUAUAAGUCACCCAGUCUAUAGUAAUUAGUUAAGCAGCCUGAACAGACAAAGACAGAAAUGUAUAGGAGUGAAAAAAAAGACAGUGGUAAGUGUUAGGGAGAAAAUAUAACAGGGCAAAGUGAUAGUGACCAGGCCGAGGCCCUGGUUAGUUGGGACGGGGGUGAGAGGGUUUCAGGAAAAUGCUCACUGAGGCGGUGUUUGCACUGAAACCUGAAAGGCAAGGAGCCAGUCUUGCAGCCAUCUGGGGAAAGAGCGUUCCUGGGCUAGGGGAAAACAACCGCAAAGACUCUGAGACAGAAAGCACUUUGGCAUCUUCAAGGGCAGAGGCUUGGGCAGAGUCAGACUGUGUGGGAAGCUGGAUGCCUGGAGAGAAGGCCUCUAUUCUUAGUGAUAGGAAAGCACUGGGGGCAGAGCCAGCAGCAGCAAGGAGACUAGGGGGCCCGGGGUGUGUGCAGGUAAGAGGGUCUCUGCCUCCAACCUUAGGGUCAAGAGCGUCAGCUCACGCUGCCUGCAGGGGAAAGAACAAUGCGCAGUCCAGUCUAUGGCUCCCCACAAAGGAAUGCCACACAGCGUGACCUCUUCGGCAGAGAGGGAACCUACACCUUCUCCCUUCCAGUCUCUCCUCCAGCAGGGGGAAAACUGAGACCCAGAGGUGAGGUGCUCAGCCACUUCCCAACACCGCCACGCAGCCGGAGGAGGUCUCCAAAUUGGCCUAUAAACUAUGAUGUGUACUGUUUCCAGAGCGAGACUGAACAAUUUCACAACCGUCUCCUCCCCGCCCCCGCAUGUCCUUUCUCCUGCUCUCUUCCUAGGUCCCAGGCGCUCUGCAGCUCCUGCCCUCGCUCACCCCAGUGCAAUGCCCUCAAGCGACUGCUUUCACCUUGCGAAAACAUCCCAUGAGGGAUGAGGACCUAGAGGUAGCUGUGUCGCUGGCAGGUUGUGAUGAAGAAUGAGACCAUAACCUUCAAUAGGCAAGGACACUGGGAGUCUCAAUCUCUCCAGGAAGCUCCUGGCUGAAUGCCAAGGAUGCACUGAUUAAUUCUACUCCUUUCUGACGCUGAUGGGUGAUCCAUCAACCCACCGACUGCUUAUUUAGCACGAUCUCAAUAAUGAGCAAGUGCUGUGAGGGGCACAGGGAUGUCAGACACAGCCCCUGAAGACCUGCAUGAGAAGAAAUACACAGCAGCCAGCACGUAAUGAAGCAGCUUCCUCUUUGGGACUCCUAGAAUCCUUGGUACUUUCCUCCAGAAUCGCCUCCUCAUGUAUCUGACAUUCCUUGUUUGUGAAUACAUCUCUCUCACUGAUCUGAAUUCUUAGAAGGUAGAAAGGGAGCCUUUUGUGUGAUCGGGGUCUCAGAGCCCAGCUAGGGGCCUGAACUCUAGCAGGCGCACCCGCUCUGUAAUUGUUUUGUGUGAGAGAGCGUGUGCCUGAAGUAGGAAAUGUUACAGCUUGGAUGGAAGCCCUAAAGAAGAUCUUAAAAGGGACAUCAGUGAGCUGCUCCCGCCAUCCGUGAAACAGAACGUGCUCAGAGGCUGCUCUGUAAACACCAGGAGGUCAGCUUAGCUUAGCUUUUUCAUCCUCUACAGUCUCUAUGCCUUCCUCCUCCUCUUCCUCCUCUUCUUCCUCCUCCUCCUCCUCUCCUUUCUUCUCCUCUGCCACCGUUGAUGACCUGAACUUUCCACAUCCCCCUUGCUGCCCCUCUUACAAAAACCCUCAAUAUUCCACACCCACUGAGGGACUAUUCUGAAGAUAGUUGCCCAUUUUCUCUUCUCAGUAUGGGCACAAAGGAAACAGCUUUCUCCCCUGCCUGCUCUUGAAACAAAGCAGCAUUGAGUCUUAUCACCGGCAGGCUUUGGCUGAGGCUCCACACACAGUGACCCAACUGACUGCUGCUAACAAAAUAAAGCUUUCGUUUCGGCAUUCUUCCCCAUUUUGGUCUGUACGGUGCCAAAGGAAAUAAACUUUUAUUUUUCCAGAAUCCAGACAUUCAGAUAACCAGAACUUGAAGGGGAGGAAGGUAUGGUUUGCAUUUUUUCUUUAGGAAACAAGUAAGUCGGAACUGUUGAAAACAGGGCUUUAAGUAGAAAAAGCAACAUAUUAGGUGAGUCAUACCCAAUCCAUAAACCUCGUCAUCCACAGUCGCAGGAUAGUACUAACAAGGGAAGCUCAUGCAUCUGACCCCAAAGCAUCUGACCUCUUGAACACUAGAAGGGUCUUCUGAUGUAUUAGAAGGAACACUAGUAAUCCAUAUACAAUGUAUGUAGACGUAGUUCUGUUAUACACAAUAGUCAUCCAAACACAUUUGUUAACCAUUGGAAUGGAGUGGGGGAAGGGGAUGGGUAAUAAAUGUUCGGCAGAACUUUCCACUUUGGGGUUUAAAGAUGAA